rnacentral:rRNA from 1 species
AAAAGGGAAUGGAAUUCCAGGUGUAGCGGUGAAAUGCGUAGAUAUCUGGAGGAACAUCAGUGGCGAAGGCGACUCCCUGGCCAAAGACUGACGCUCAUGUGCGAAAGUGUGGGUAGCGAACAGGAUUAGAUACCCUGGUAGUCCACACCGUAAACGCUGUCUACUAGCUGUUUGUGGCUUUAAGCCGUGAGUAGCGAAACUAACGCGAUAAGUAGACCGCCUGGGGAGUACGGCCGCAAGGUUAAAACUCAAAUGAAUUGACGGGGGCCCGCACAAGCGGUGGAGCAUGUGGGUUUAAUUCGAUGCAACGCGAAGAAACCUUACCUACACUUGACAUGUUUAGAAGUUACCAGAGAUGGUUUCGUGCCCUUCGGGAACUCAAACACAGGUGCUGCAUGGCUGUCGUCAGCUC